rnacentral:lncRNA from 1 species
CCCUCUGACCCCGCCAUCCUGCUCUGGACUGCUGGGAAAAACAGAAAUAAGCUUAUUAGGCUAAGUCACUGGAUUUAGAGGUGUUGUCAUAGAAUUUAGUCAGCCCUAAAGAUUCAAAAGUGAUUCCGUUGAAGCAGCUCAAAUGUUUCCAGCUGUUUGAUUUUAUUCCCUUUGGACCUGUCUUGCUUUACUUUGAAUGUUCCUGUUCUCAGUAGAGGUGGCUCAUUAUCAUUCAGGGUGAAUUUGAAUAUUGGCAACAAUCAAAUGCCAUUUGAUACCAAAUUUUAUAACUAAAGAAAAAUCAAACUACAAAAAUCUUUAAAAAAAAAAAAAGCAAUAAAGUGACAAAUCAAAAUUAAUAUGUGACUCUAAAGCAGUCAUUCUAAUGCAAAUCUACCCACAGCCUGUCUUUGCAGAUAAAGUUUUACUGGCACACAGCCACUCUUACUAUUGACCUACUGUCUAUGGAUGAUCCUACGCAUCACACGGAACAGAACUGAGGAAUUGCCACUUGGCCGGCAAAAUUAAAAUAUUUUCUAUCUUGCCCUUUAUAGAAACAUUUGUUAUCCCUGCUCUAAAAAAACAAAAGUCAUUCUCUUUUUUUAAUUGACUUUGGAUGCAACUCCAAAACAGAAGCUACAAAAAGUUUUAGAUGUGCCAGCAUUGUAGGACCAAUUAUAGAAACUCCUAAGAAAAUUAUGCUGAAAAAAUAUUACUUGUGAAAAUAUAUGCUUCUCAAGACUGGUAAAAAUUCAGUUGCUUACAUGCUAAUUCUUUUAACAAAGUUAAAAGACAAGAAUUAGAAAAAAGUAUUUGUUGAUAAGCAAUUAGUGUCCAGAAUAGAUACAGAAUUACAAGUCAAUUAAAAAAAAAUACACUAAUAAGAAUAUUGUAAAAGGAUAUGCAGAGGCAAUUUGCCGAAUACAAAGUCUGAUUGUCCAAUAAACAUAUGAAAAUGGCCUCUACUUACUAAUAAUAAAGGAAAUGCAAUUUAAAAGCAGCAAUGAGAUCAUGUCACAGCUGAAAAACUGGCGAAACUUUAAAAUCUGAAAAAUCUCAAAUUGUGGCAAGAAUGUGGAAAAAGCAAGUUCUUGCUUGUGGGUGUGUAAUUUGUAUUACCACUCUGGGAAACAAUUUGAUAAUUCUUAGUCAGACUGACUCCAUGCAUGCAUAUCCUAAAACCCAGCAAUUCCAUUUCUAGAAAUGCAUCCUAAAGGAAUUUCACAGAUGAGCAAAAGGACACUGUCCAAAGAUGGUCCUUGCAGCCCUGUUUGUAACCAAGAAAAGAGGAAACAAUCCCCAUAAUCAGGGACCUGGAUAAUAGAGCUAGAGAUUAUUCACACCUCUAAAAUUAUGCAAGAGUUAAAGUGAAUUAACCACAUCUACACUGACACAUCUCAAAAACAUAAUGGUGAAUUAAAAAGCAAUUGCAAGAGGAAUACACAGUAGCAUACCAUGUAUUUAAAAUGUUUACAUGCACAAAAUUCUAAAUUUUCACAGACAUUUUUAUACAGUAAAAUUAUAAAUACAAGUUCAAGGUAAAGACAAAAUAAAAGUUAAAAAAAAGAAAAAACAGAGCAAUCAGCUUCAGAUGAUAGUUACCUCUGAGAAGGGAGAGAAAGGGCAUGUAUGGAUGCCCUUUGCCAUAAUCUCAUGGUUGUUUUUUUGAAAACAGAGAGAGAGUGAAAGUAAAUGUGACAAAAUUGUAGCAUCUGUUUAUUAGAUGGCUGACUAGUAAAUAUCCAUUUAUUAUGGUCUUUUUGUACUUUUUUGUCUGUUUGAUACAUUUUAUAUAAUAUAGUUUUUCAAAAGCCAAGAAAAAGUAAUCAUUCACCACCACCCCCUUUACGAAUGCAAUGGGUUCUCUGCUCUCUGCACACAGUACGACACUAGGCAGAGUGUAGCAAGUGACAUUCAGGAGGCCCUGAAUUGCCUGUCCAUUUAGGCCUGGGUACACCUAGAGAGGCUGAUUUCCAUGACAUGGUCUUGCCUUGGGGUUUUUAGAAAAAGAAAAUGAUCUGUAGACCUCAAAUAGGUGUUAAUCUUCUUCCUCCUUAAUGGAUUUCUAGGUCGGCAAAGUCACAACUUCCACAGAUUUUGGAAUUUUAAUUCAUAAUUAGUUAUCUCCUCUUCCUUUCCCAUAAGAUGAGUUCCCUUCUGUUGUCUCUGCAAAGGAUGUAACCAACUGAACAUGGCUCAGAGCCUUGGAGUAUGUCCCACCCCAGUCCAUAGGUAUGGUCAGGUCUCUGCUGACAAGUCGCUUUCUCAGGAUGCAAGCAGGUUCAAAACCCCUUUCCCAUUUUACCCUCUCACUGCACUCUCCCCAUAUUCAGUCAUAAUUCAUUAACCAUUUAUUAAUAUGCAAUUGAUGUCAGUUUUACACAGGGUUCUCCAGGGAAGCAAAAGUGAUAAGAGAGAGAAGAGGAGGCUUACUACAGAAUUAGCUCAUGCAGUUUUGGAGGCCAAGAAGUCCCAUAAUCUGCCAUCUGUGAGCUGGAGACCCAGGAAAGGCAAUGGUAUAAUUCAGUCCAAGUCUGAAAGCCUCAGAACCUGGGGGCCUCGGUGUAAGGCUGGUGUAAAUCCUUCAGUCUGAAGGCAUCACAGGUCUGUCUCUCCCUCUGGACAGUAGGAUCACAGAGUAGGCCUUUAGACUUGUCUACAGCAGUGUCCUCAGAGGCAAGUUCUGUGCCUCGACUGGCUACCCACUAAUUAUUUGCUUCUAAAGUGCAGAAGAGAUUCCUGUCUAGAAUUGGAGCCAGUGCAUGAACUCCAUAUCUGCUCACUAUAAAACCAUAACAGGUAAUUAAUGGAUCACUAGUACUCUAAAGAUCUGAUUUCUAACCCUGGCUUGGCCAUUUACUGUGUCCUCAGAAUGUUAGGUACACUAAGAGAAGAGGGCAGCCUCAAAAGAGAGGCAAUCUAGCCAGUGUUAAAAUGCCCAGCUCUCUUACUUACUCUUCAUGGGGUCUUGGGCAAUUUAUUUAACCCGAGUCUGUCUCAAAAGAAAGAAAGAAAGAAAAAGAAAGACAGACAGAAAGAAAGACAGACAGACAGAAAGG